CCUCCCAGGUUCAAGUGAUUCUCCCACCUCAGCCUCCCAAGUAGCUGGAUUACAGGUGCGUGCCACCACACCUGGCUACUUUUUGUAUUUUUUGGUAGAGACAGGCUUUCACCAUGUUGGCCAGGCUGGUCUCAAACUCUUGCCCUCAAUUUAUUCCCUCUGCUGCUUCAGAAGUUAUAUAUUCUGUCUUUCAUGGGUACCCUGUCAUUUUUAACAUUUAACACUGUGCAUUUCUGUGGCCGUGACAGGCGGUGACUGUGAUGUCACGUGAGCCUGUCAUCUUGGGUUGUCUGACCUCGUCACCUUCCCCUACUGCUAGCCCCUGGCUGCUUGACCAUUCUAUCAGUGUUCACAGUUCUCUCCGAAAGGUCUUCAGCUUUCUUUUACAGUCUGGACCCUCUGGCCUCUUCCUGCCAGAACAAGGAUUGGGUCAACUCAAUGCUCAUCCGUGCAGAUGUAGAAGAGGCUCCAGGAGCUGCUAGGUGGG
rnacentral:lncRNA from 1 species